GGUAACAGGAAGAAGCUUGCUUCUUUGCUGACGAGUGGCGGACGGGUGAGUAAUGUCUGGGAAACUGCCUGAUGGAGGGGGAUAACUACUGGAAACGGUAGCUAAUACCGCAUAACGUCGCAAGACCAAAGAGGGGGACCUUCGGGCCUCUUGCCAUCGGAUGUGCCCAGAUGGGAUUAGCUAGUAGGUGGGGUAACGGCUCACCUAGGCGACGAUCCCUAGCUGGUCUGAGAGGAUGACCAGCCACACUGGAACUGAGACACGGUCCAGACUCCUACGGGAGGCAGCAGUGGGGAAUAUUGCACAAUGGGCGCAAGCCUGAUGCAGCCAUGCCGCGUGUAUGAAGAAGGCCUUCGGGUUGUAAAGUACUUUCAGCGGGGAGGAAGGGAGUAAAGUUAAUACCUUUGCUCAUUGACGUUACCCGCAGAAGAAGCACCGGCUAACUCCGUGCCAGCAGCCGCGGUAAUACGGAGGGUGCAAGCGUUAAUCGGAAUUACUGGGCGUAAAGCGCACGCAGGCGGUUUGUUAAGUCAGAUGUGAAAUCCCCGGGCUCAACCUGGGAACUGCAUCUGAUACUGGCAAGCUUGAGUCUCGUAGAGGGGGGUAGAAUUCCAGGUGUAGCGGUGAAAUGCGUAGAGAUCUGGAGGAAUACCGGUGGCGAAGGCGGCCCCCUGGACGAAGACUGACGCUCAGGUGCGAAAGCGUGGGGAGCAAACAGG
rnacentral:rRNA from 1 species